rnacentral:rRNA from 1 species
AUGGAGCUUCUGGGGAUACCACGAUCCCUACCGAUUCUUGGAGGAAGGGUGUUUCCUUUGCUCAGACAGUACCGUGUCUAUGGAACACAUCAUUCCCUAACCUGGAGCAGCUUACAAACCACCGGGAGAAAGCAGAACCUGAAUGGGGGUCGGCCUGCACAGUGUGCGACGAGUCACGAUGGAGCUUCUAUCUCACAUGCAAAUGGUGCUCCAAAGGAUUCACCUUUGCCGGAUAGUUUGCUUCGUGAUGCUCGCAUCCUCUAUUGUGCUUCUCCUGCCAUGGGUCAUAACAAGGAAGCACAUCCAGAAUCAAACAAAAGAGUGCCAGCAAUAGUUGAUGCUCUCGAAAAAUUGGAGCUUACACCAAAGCAUCGGGGUUCACAGGUUCUUGAAAUCCAAAAUUUCUACCCUGCUUCACUUGAUGAUGUUGCACGAGUUCAUUCAAGAACAUACAUCACUGGACUCGAAAAGGCUAUGAGUAAGGCUUUGGAUGAAGGUUUGAUAUUCAUCGAAGGAACUGGACCAACAUAUGCUACACAGACUACUUUCGCAGAAUCACUUCUUUCAGCUGGUGCUGGAAUUACAUUGGUUGAUUCAGUGGUUGCCGCAUCAAAGCUGGGCCUAAGUCCACCUCUUGGAUUUGCGCUAAUAAGGCCACCCGGACACCAUGCUGUUCCUGAAGGUCCCAUGGGCUUUUGCGUCUUUGGGAACAUUGCAGUUGCAGCUCGGUACGCUCAGCAUCAACAUGGAUUGAAGCGAGUAAUGAUAAUAGAUUUUGACGUUCACCAUGGCAAUGGCACAUCUGAUGCCUUUUAUGACGAUCCAGACAUCUUCUUCCUCUCAACCCACCAGCUAGGAAGCUAUCCCGGUACUGGUAAGAUGAACCUAAUUGGUCAGGGCAGUGGCGAAGGAACAACGCUCAACCUGCCAUUGCCCGGUGGCUCAGGUGACUACUCAAUGAGGUGCGCCUUUGAUGAGGUCAUUGCUCCAUCUGCGCAGCGGUUCAAGCCCGAUAUCAUCCUCGUUUCAGCUGGCUACGACGCGCACGCGCUGGACCCUCUAGCGGGUCUGCAGUUCACGACGGGCACGUUCUACAUGCUGGCGUCGAGCAUCAAGCAGCUGGCCAGGGAGCUGUGCAGCGGCCGCUGCGUCUUCUUCCUGGAAGGUGGUUACAACCUGCAGUCGCUCUCCAGCUCUGUGGCUGACACCUUCCGCGCGUUCCUCGACGAGCCCAGCCUCGCUGCUCAGUUUGACGACCCGACAAUGUUGUAUGAGGAGCCGACGCGGAGGAUCAAGGAGGCGAUUGAGAAGGUCAGGCAUCUUCACUCGCUCUAG